UAGAGACGAAAAAUAACAAUACAGGGCGAAUGUCUUGUAAUUGGAAUGAUGGUGACCCAAACCCUCACCAGAGUAGCAAUUGGAGGGCAAGUCUGGUGCCAGCAGCCGCGGUAAUUCCAGCUCCAAUAGCGUAUAUUAAACUUGUUGCAGUUAAAAAGCUCGUAGUUGUAUUUUUGCGUUAGCGGUUUGACCAUUUGGUUGGUUAUUUCG
rnacentral:rRNA from 1 species